ensembl:lncRNA
GUGCCUCAUGCAGUGGCUGACACAUAGUGGGUGCUUGAUAAAUGUGUGUUGGAUAAAUAAAACUUUAUAUAUAUAUUUUUUAAGUUUAUUUUUGAUAGAGAGAGAGAGCGAGAGAGAGAGCGCACUUGAGCAAGGGAGGAGCAGAGAGAGAGGAGACACAGAAUCCCAAGCAGGCUCCACACUGUCAGUGCUGAGCCCAACGGGGGCUGGAACUCAUCAACUGUGAGAUCAUGACCUGAUCUAAAAUCAUGAGUCAGGCUCUUAACCAACUGAGCCACCCAGGCACCCCUAUAUAUAUUCUUGGCUAUAGCAGGCAUUUAUUAACUGUAAAUCGAUUGGCCAUGUUCCUGCUUGUAGUAUGGAUUUCUCCUGUCUUCCGUGAACUACCUCCAAGACUUCAGUUUAAGGAUAAGGGUGGCCAAGGACUUCUGUAAAGAUUUCUUGCAUUUUCCAGAAUUAAAUAUGUGACACUUUGGUUUCCUUCCUUUGGAUUUUACCAGCCAAAAACUGCUGAAGGUAGGGGGGGUGGGGUAAGGACCAUUUCUGGGAAAAUGGGCUUAUUCAGUAUGGACACUUCACUUUAGUACAAGAAACACUUACGGAAUUAAGGGCAAAGUUCGAUGGUUGUCAUUCGUGUUUUAUUCGUGCCCUCAUUCACACUCACAGGUCAGGCUCAAUCUCCGCUGCAUUUCACUUUCAAGGCACUGGCUCAGCACGAGGACGGUCCCUUUAAGGCCCUGGAAAGGGUCUCGCUGUUGGUUUCGGCGAGGAAGCCACGCCCCAUCACGUGUACGCAGUCCCAGAGGGGCGGGGCCGGCAGCUCCUCGCUUUCGUCACUUCCGGUUCUCUGUCAGUUGCAAGCGAGCGAGCAGAGGGCUGUUCGGCUGCAAGAGCGGAGCGUGAGUGUUGGGGGCCCCGCCCCCACCCUUCGAGCCCCUGCCCGGCCGAUCCCCACCCUCCCGGCGGGGCCGCGAGCCGUUUGCGGCCUCUACACCGCUCGGCGGCGACGGCCGCGGGAAAUGGCGGCGCUGCCAGACCUCCCCUUUCUCCGCCUUGGCCUCCCUGGACCUCCUCCUUCGCCGACCCUGCGCCCCAUGCGCUCCGUUGCCAGCCCCAGGGUUCCAGCAGUUUCCUGGUGUCGCGCAACCCCCUUUCCCCAUGUUGGUGCUCAUCACCCUCGUGUAGUACCGAAUUCGUGUGCCUUUUAG